AGCAAAUAGGAAGUUCCUGGGUGGUUACGGGGGAGGGAAAGUCACGGCAGCAGGAGUAGCGCACACGUCACAUGCAUGUGACAGGGAGCAGUGCAGUGCAUUCAGGAAGCUCGGGGCUGUGUGGUGAGGACUCAGAACGCAGGGAGAAGGCGGCACAGGCCCAGAGGAUGAGGGGCUGUGGGUCAGAGAAUGGUGGGAACCUCCCCAAAUCCCAAGUUCCCCGAGGCCAGCCCAGGGCCAGCCUUGUGUGCGGGUGUUUCUGAGGAUGGUGCGUCUCUGCAUGAGCCUUGUGUGUCAUGUGCAAGAGUGUGUGUUGUGUCCUAUGCGUGGGAGGGAGCUGCCGGCGGUGCAUUUGUGGGGGCCGAGGGCCAGUCAGGAUGUGCCGUUAGAACCACGUGGCUCCUGAAAGCAAGCCCGUGAUACCAGAGAUACCUGGUAGUAGCAUCUAUAUCUGAUUAGCUGUACAUCUCUUGACAGUCUUUUUAAAAGCAUGAGUGAAGAAAGACAUAAACUUCCGGAUUUGCGUAAGUGAGCUUGCCAACUAAGGAAACACAUGAGUAUUAUCUGUAUCUUCAGGAGCACUUGAUUAGACUCCAGAAACAGAAACUGCAGCUGCUCCCACCACCCCCACCACCGCAGGCCCUCCCCGGGGCGCAGCCAACCACACAAGUGCAAGUGCAGCCAUCACCCCCCACCACAGCAGAGCCCCCAGCUCACCACGGUCACGGCCCCGAGACCCAGAGCCCUGUUGAUGGGCACCACCAUGGCCAACCUCCAGACUCGAGUUUCCACCUCCCACCUGCAAGGCCCAAGACUGAUGUCAGCGCUGACGUACCAGAUGGCCCAGGUUGCUGUGGCCACGCCUCCUGUGGUGUCUGUCCUGGCAGUUGUGGUGCUGUCAGCCAGGGUCACAGUGCUUCCAUCAACGCAACGGGAUCAGUGUUGUGAUAAGGCAGCUGCAAAAAGCGGCAGUUGCAAAAGAUGGUGAAGAACUCAAGCUGAAGAGGUGUCUGCUGAAUUUUGUUGCUUCGGUAGGAGCUUUUCACCAUCAGUUUUUAGAAAGUACGCAUGACUCUCCUUCUGUUGAUAUCUCUCUUGAUUUGGCAAAGAGUACAAGGAGGACCGCAAAGGGUUGCCAUAUAAUCAUCACAAAUAGAUCCAGGGAUACCAUAUCAGGUCCUGUAGAGUCCUCAUUGCGACGCUUGCUCCACACAGCAUUCAUUCAUAUCAGCUGCAACUUGACACCCAAGGCACGGGAGA
rnacentral:lncRNA from 1 species